CCUACGGGGGGCAGCAGUGGGGAAUAUUGCACAAUGGGGGAAACCCUGAUGCAGCAACGCCGCGUGAAGGAAGACGGUUCUCGGAUUGUAAACUUCUGUUCUUAGUGAAGAAGAAUGACGGUAGCUAAGGAGCAAGCCACGGCUAACUACGUGCCAGCAGCCGCGGUAAUACGUAGGUGGCAAGCGUUGUCCGGAAUUACUGGGUGUAAAGGGAGCGCAGGAGGGAAGCCAAGUCAGCUGCGAAAACUACGGGCUUAACUUGUAGACUGCAGUUGAAACGGGUUUUCUUGAGUGAAGUAGAGGUAGGCGGAAUUCGGGGUGUAGCGGUGAAAUGCGUAGAUAUUCCGAGGAACACCGGUGGCGAAGGCAGCCAACUGGACUUUAACUGACACUGAGGCUCGAAAGUGUGGGGAGCAAACAGGAUUAGAUACCCUUGUAGUC
rnacentral:rRNA from 1 species